CACCGGCAGCUCAAGUGGUGGCCAUUUUUAUUGGGCCUAAAGCGUUCGUAGCCGGCCUGAUAAGUCUUUGGUGAGAUCCCGCAGCUUAACUGUGGGAAUUGCUGGGGAUACUAUCAGGCUUGAGGUCGGGAGAGGUUAGCGGUACUCCCAGGGUAGGGGUGAAAUCCUAUAAUCCUGGGAGGACCACCUGUGGCGAAGGCGGCUAACUGGAACGAACCUGACGGUGAGUAACGAAAGCCAGGGGCGCGAACCGG
rnacentral:rRNA from 1 species